AUUGAACGCUGGCGGCAGGCUUAACACAUGCAAGUCGAGCGAGCGGCGGACGGGUGAGUAAUGUCUGGGAAACUGCCUGAUGGAGGGGGAUAACUACUGGAAACGGUAGCUAAUACCGCAUACCAUCAGAUGUGCCCAGAUGGGAUUAGCUAGUAGGUGGGGUAAUGGCUCACCUAGGCGACGAUCCCUAGCUGGUCUGAGAGGAUGCCCAGCCAAACGGGAGCUGAGACAAGGUCCAGACGCCUACGGGAGGCAGUAGGGGGGAAGAGUGAACAAUGGGCGCAAAUCUGAUGCAGCCAUGCCGGGUGUGUGAAGAAGGCCUUCAGUUUGUAAAGCACUUUCAGCGAUGAGGCGUUACUCUUAGAAGAAGCACCUGCUAACUCCGUUCCAGCCGCCGCGGUAAUUC
rnacentral:rRNA from 1 species